ACGCGCGUGUAUGUACGUACCUUGGAAACAAUCGUGCAGUCGACAAACGGCAACCAAUGAGGGAAGCGAAUUUUCGUAGUGACUGCAAAAUCUAGCAGUACCCGGCAGUGCCCAGCAGUGCCCGGCAGUAUCGUCCAGUAUCGUCAAGUAUUGUCAGAUAUCGUUGACACGAGUUAUAAAUUGAAAUAUGCUGUCCGGUGAAACAGAAGUUCCUUGAUCAAUAUUUUUCUUUCCAGGUGAAUCCAAUAUAAAAGAUCAUGAUGAGUUAAUGAAAUAAAAUGUACGAUGUCAUUCGACAUUCCAAAAUGAUUGUUUGAAAACAACUUUCAUUUAUAGGGAAGAAUAAUAUUCAGCUAAAUAAAUCAUUUUUCGUAGAAAUAUUUUUAAACAAUGAAAAGGGUAAAAGAACGACUAAAUUGCCCCAAUCCGUUAUUUGAACGCUGGCUACUGGAAUGGAGAGACGAAGCGAUAGCAAAAGGCUCCGAUAUGCAGUACUGUUUCUCAAAAGCGCUUGCAACGUUAAGAAAAUACCCUUUGCCUCUGGAAACAGGAAAGGAUUGCAUAAUUCUGCAAAACUUUGGAUCAAAUCUUUGCACGCUGUUGGAUAAAAAGUUGGCCGAACAUCAGAGAGGGACACCGCAGCUACAGGUUACUUUAACCAAGCAAAAAGAGGCUGGUGGUACCAUUGAAUAUAUCUUAGGUGAUCAGGAUAUAAAUGUUAAAAAUACGGAAGGGAAAAAAGUUACGAAGAGUAUAUAUGAAAAAACCGGACAUUUUGUUUCUGUGCCGACAACGGAACUAUACGUUCCUUCGUGGAGAUCAGGGGGCUAUGCUAUUUUAAUUGCAUUAUUUAAUAAAUCAAGAGAUCCCAAUUAUUCAGGUUAUUUAACUAAGGCAGAGUUGCAAAUAGAAGCUCAAGCGUAUUGUGAUCAUUCCUUUACAGUUUGCAAACCCUCUACACGCUGUAGUGCCUGGUCCUCGAUGUCAUUAUUAAUCUCUAAGGGAUUAGUUUUAAAGCGAAAUCGUCCCCCAAAAAAUAACAUUGAUCGAUGUAGGUAUAGCUUAACAAAUGAAGGAGUAACUCUUGCUACAAAGUUGUCACAGAUGAAUAAAAAUGAUUUAAAUUUGAAGCAUCAUUUUCCACAUAGGGGAGACAUUGAAUUGUCAUCGGAAGUUACUCAAAGGGGCAACAGCGAUGCACAAAAAGUACUGCAUGGAACCAAGUCAGUAAGAAAACGCGAGGAAAAUGAGGUCAUAGACUUUGAAGUGCACCAAGAGCAUACGCAAAUUGGGAACGUUAUCAAGAGUAAUUAUGACAAAAUGAAACAAAGUCAUGCCAUGGGAACUAUAAGUAAAAAAACUCCAAUCAACGUAGACACACAAUUGAAGAGUUUAGUAAAUGUAACGGAACCUGGAGUUAGUUUUGCACCGCACACAUUUAAUGUCGUAUUAUUAGUAGACACACGCGAAACGGAUGGUGGUAAAACCAGACCCACUCACGAUGUCACGCUCAUAGAGCUAACGCAGACCAAAGUGCUUUUCGAAGUUCGUAGUUUAAAGAUUGGAGAUUUUGCAUGGAUAGCCAAAAGUAAAGACACCGGAGAAGAGUUAGUAUUGCCAUACAUUGUCGAGAGGAAACGCAUAGAUGAUUUAGGUGCAAGCAUUAAAGAUGGUAGAUUUCAUGAGCAAAAGUUUCGACUAAAGCAAUCUGGCAUAAAAAAUAUCAUAUACAUGAUCGAGAGUUAUGGCAACAAUCAAUAUACUGGCUUACCGAUAUCAUCGAUACUUCAAGCCUCAAUCAACUCCUCGGUUCAAGAUGGCUUCACCGUUAAGUACACCGAUAGUCAUCGAGAGUCCAUGCAAUAUUUAGCUAUGGUUACCAAAUUAUUAACCGAGAAGUUCCAAUUAGCAAAUUUCUACAAUUACAGAAAAUACAUCUAGAAGAGUGCAAAAAAAAUUAUCCAGUUACCACAAAUGUUGAUAACUACAAAAUUUAUCUCGUGGCAUUUAAAGACUUUAACAAAUCCUCAUCUAAACUAAAGAAUUUUAAAGUGAAGCAGAUGUUUAUCCGGCAAUUGUUGCAAUUGAAGGGGGUUUCCGUUGAAAAGGCGCUAGCAAUAGUAGACAAGUAUACAACCCCAAAACUUCUUGUAACUGCUUUGACAAAUGCUGGCCCCGA
rnacentral:misc_RNA from 1 species